GCUUCCCUCCCUCCCUCCUUCCCCCUCCCCAGUGGCUUACCUCCCUUCACCCCCCACCUCCCCCCUCAGCAGGUCGCCACCACUUGCCUCCUGGUAACACCACCCCGUUUCUGAGUUGAAAUGACCCAGGAAACCAGGUCUACCUCUCUUUCCAACUGCCUGGCUGCAGGGGGAGGGGACAUCAAGCAGACGGGAAGACAGGGAUUUUCCUUGGGUCUCGGGUGAGGGCUGAGGGUCCUAGCCGCACCUCUGUGCCUCCAGUCCAAUCCUCUGCCCUUGGGACUCAGUUUACCAAUUCAGGGCCUCUCAAAUUGCAUUUGGGUUAGCCCUUCAGUGUUUUCAAAGCGCCGGGGUCCUUCCUUCUCUGGGCGCCCCGCAGGUCUGAGAUGGACAAGGUGAGUCCCAGUCCCUCUUUUUCAGGCAUGGUCACGAGGCUCCAUGGAAGCUUCUGCAGUUUGCCGAGGGCCACGUGUCACUGAGGCGCCAGAGCGGGCCAGCGGCCACCGUGCCCCCACCCCCAAGCAGAGCGAGCGAUUUGACACAGAUCGCCUUUUUCUCGUGCGGAGCGGAGGCCAGAUCUGCUCCCGGCCCAGCCUGUCCUAUUUGCCAGCUAACGAGGCAAACUGGGCUCCAUGAAAGAUUAAGCAGCAGCUGCUCCGUUUUCUUGCUGUCCGACUUUGAAAUCGUGACGGGCGCAUCUGCACGGCAGCUCACGCUGUCUGGGCCCGCGGGAUCCAGGAGCCCUUAAAUGCAGCCAGAAUCGUGCGGUUUUUUUCGGGCUGGCUCGUGUGCAGUAUUUUGAGCACCACCAUUCAGGACCGAACCAUCAGCCGUGCAAACGAAGCACCGAAUCCCUGCUCACCCUGUUGGCUCUAGUUCGUAAUACCUUCCGGGGCGGGGGGAGGCGCCACCACAGCUCCUGGCUGGAGUAAGGGCAGAGAUGACAUUAGCAGAUGAUUUGAGCCGGGAGAAAACUAGCAGGCAGCUCAGCCCCGCCCCCAGCCAGCCCCGCCUCCAACCUCUGUGAGCAACUAGCACAGAGGUGCGGUGCCAGCCUGGGGUUUACCCGCGUCCUGUUUUCUGGCCGGUUCGCGCCGGUCCAGGCUGCACUUGGCACUCGAGGGAGGAAGACUCAUUCGCUUCUAUGUUACAGAGCUUUGGGGAUUUUAGAAAAUUUUGCAAGAAAAAUAGUAACAGUAAAACCCCGGAGCCUGUUUCUGAACGAACAGAUGCCUGCUUGCAUUUUUCCUUCGCAUUCAUCUUUAAAUUAACUUAUUCCCACACGCACCGCUCACAAAGCCCCCCCCUCCGUCGCCGCUGCAAUUCUGUGACGUGAGUGAGGGUGGAAGUCUGUGACGGAAGGGGCAUCUUCUGAUGCCCUUUGGUGACUGUGAUUUUGUUUAUGAAGCAGAGCUGCUCAUUAGCUCCCCCAGGCUGCCCAGGGAACGUGUCCCUUCAUCCCCCACGUAGCGUUCAGCUAAGGUGAGGGAGAAGCAUGCUCGUUUUGGGAACCGGUGGUGUUUCGUCCAGCCGUUUCUGGUCCACGUCCUUUCUUCGCCAGCGAACUCCACUGACGGUGUAUUUAUAACACAGUUUCAGAAAUUAGAGAACUUGGAAAAUACAGACGUGUAUAAAGAAUAAAACGUCAACCCUCAAUCCCAAGUAACCACAGGUAACGUUCGGGCGUCUCCCUUUUUUUCUACAAACGUGCAUCCCUUUUGUGUAUUAAAGACAAGGACCACGACGUGCACGCUGUUUUGUGUUUUGUCUUCUUAAUCAACUGCAUAUGUGCGGGGUUGGCCCCUAACCAUUAACACUUAAUGAUUGGAAAAUCUUGAAAGCCUGACUUUAAUGGUUUUAGAGCGUUUUAUCGUAGGAAUGGAUCGCACACCAUCAUCUUGGCUCAGGUGCCCCACGAACAGGUGCUCCUGAGAAAGUGCCGCGUGACCCACCGUGCAAGUAGGGGCCUCUGAGGUCGUGCAUGAGGCCCCAGUAGGAGAGCGCCAACCGGAGCCGUGCUGUGUCUGCACGACGGUCCCAGUUUGCUGCCGCGCUCGGCCCUCCCGGCCUGGUCCGAGGCACCGGCCCGCGGGCCUCCGUGAAAUAAAAUGUGCAGCCUUUUUAUGCCUAC